UCCGUAGGUGAACCUGCGGAGUUAUCAUUA
rnacentral:rRNA from 1 species